rnacentral:rRNA from 1 species
AGAUGAGGAAAGCGGCGAACGGGUGAGUAACGCGUGGGCAACCUGGCCUUAAGAAAAGGAUAGCCCCCGGAAACGGGGAGUAAUACUUUAUGAGAAUAAAAAAGGGCAUCCUACUUCCAUUCAAAGCGCAAGCGCUUAAGGAUGGGCCCGCGUAUCAUUAGCUAGUUGGUGAGAUAACAGCCCACCAAGGCAACGAUGAUUAGCCGGUCUGAGAGGGCGAACGGCCACAUUGGAACUGAGAGACGGUCCAAACUCCUACGGGAGGCAGCAGUGGGGAAUAAUUGCGCAAUGGCAGAAGAACUCUGACGCAGCAAUACCCGCGUGAGCGAAGAAGGUCUUCGGAUCGUAAAGCUCUGUUAUCAGGGAAGAAGAAAAUGACGGGUACCUGAUGAGCAAGUCCCGGGCUAACUACGUGCCAGCAGCCGCGGUAAUACGUAGGGGACAAGCGUUGUCCGGAAUCACUGGGCGUAAAGGGCGCGCAGGCGGUGAUUUAAGCAGGAUGUGAAAGGCUACGGCUCAACCGUAGACAUGCACCCUGAACUGGGUCACUUGAGUAUUGGAGAGGCAGGCAGAAUUCCUCGUGUAGCGGUGAAAUGCGUAGAUAUCAGGAGGAAUACCGGAGGCGAAGGCGGCCUGCUGGACAAAUACUGACGCUGAGGCGCGAAAGCGUGGGGAGCAAAGCAGGAUUAGAUAACCCUGGUAGUCCACGCCGUAAACGAUGAAUGCUGGUUGUUGGUCUUUAAAGAUCAGUGACGACGUAAA